UACGUAGGGUGCGAGCGUUAAUCGGAAUUACUGGGCGUAAAGCGUGCGCAGGCGGUUCGUUGUGUCGGUGGUGAAAGCCCCGGGCUUAACCUGGGAAUGGCCAUGGAAACUGGCGAACCGUGGUAGUGGCGAGAGGGGGGUGGAAUUCCGCGGUGUAGCAGUGAAAUGCGUAGAGAUGCGGAGGAACACCGAUGGCGAAGGCAGCCCCCUGGGCUAACACUGACGCCUCAGGCACGAAAGCGUGGGGAGCAAACAGG
rnacentral:rRNA from 1 species